rnacentral:snRNA from 1 species
AUACUUACCUGGCAGAGGAGAUACCAUAAUCACCAAUGUGGGUUUUCCCAGAGUGAGGCUUAUCCAUUGCACUCUAGAUGUGCUGACCCCUGUGGUUUCCCCAAAUGUGGGAAACUCGACUGCACAGUUUAUGGUAGUGGGGAACUGUGUUUGCGCUCUCCCCUA